UGGUGGACAAAUUAUGUAAUGGUGUUAUUGUUUCUAAAUUGCCUCAAACCUAGUUUGACAUUUCUGUACUGCAAUUUCUUGUUACUUAUCAGCCUACAUUAUA